CUCUCUGCAGCUCAGUUGGUUAUAGAGCUCUGCACCGGAAUAGCAGGGCAGCAGGUUCGAUUUCUGCCAGAGGGC